GAUGAAGAACGUAGCGAAAUGCGUUAAGUAAUGUGAAUUGCAGAAUUCAGUGAAUCAUCGAAUCUUUGAACGCACCUUGCGCCCUUUGGACAUUCCGAAGGGCAUGCCUGUUUGAGUAUCAUGAACACCUCAACUCUCACGGCUUGUCCGUGAUGAGCUUGGACUUUGGGGGUCUUGCCGGCCUGUGGUCGGCUCCUCUCAAAUGGAUCAGCUUGCCAGUGUUUGGUGGCAUCACAGGUGUGAUAACUAUCUGCGCCUGUGGUUUUCCAUCAGAUACCCUUCAGUGAUAUGGAGGUUCGCUGGAGCUCACAAAUGUCUCUCCUUAGUGAGGACAGCUCUUUGAACGUUUGAUCUCAAAUCAGGUAGGACUACCCGCUGAACUUAAGCAUAUCAAUAAGCGGAGGA
rnacentral:misc_RNA from 1 species